rnacentral:rRNA from 1 species
UACAUAGGUCUCAAGCGUUGUUCGGAUUCAUUGGGCGUAAAGGGUGCGUAGGUGGUGGGGUAAGUCGGAUGUGAAAUCCCGGGGCUCAACCCCGGAACUGCAUUCGAUACUGCCUUGCUCGAGUACUGGAGAGGAGACUGGAAUUUACGGUGUAGCAGUGAAAUGCGUAGAUAUCGUAAGGAAGACCAGUGGCGAAGGCGAGUCUCUGGACAGUUACUGACACUGAGGCACGAAGGCCAGGGGAGCAAACGGG